rnacentral:rRNA from 1 species
GAUGAACGCUAGCGGCAGGCUUAAUACAUGCAAGUCGAGGGACAGCACAGGUAGCAAUACUGGGUGGUAACCGGCAAACGGGUGCGGAACACGUACACAACCUUCCUUUAAGUGGGGGAUAGCCCAGAGAAAUUUGGAUUAAUACCCCGUAAUAUAGUUGAAUGGCAUCAUUUGAUUAUUAUAGCUACGGCGCUUAAUGAUGGGUGUGCGGCUGAUUAGAUAGUUGGCGGGGUAACGGCCCGCCAAGUCUACGAUCAGUAGCUGAUGUGAGAGCAUGAUCAGCCACACGGGCACUGAGACACGGGCCCGACUCCUACGGGAGGCAGCAGUAAGGAAUAUUGGUCAAUGGACGCAAGUCUGAACCAGCCAUGCCGCGUGAAGGAUUAAGGUCCUCUGGAUUGUAAACUUCUUUUAUUUGGGACGAAAAGGGGUCUUUCUAGGUCAACUGACGGUACCAGAUGAAUAAGCACCGGCUAACUCCGUGCCAGCCGCCGCAGUAAUAC